rnacentral:tRNA from 1 species
AAGGUCUUAGCCUAAUGAAGGUGUUUGAGUUGCAUUCAGAAGAUGUGAAUUAAAAUUUCACAGGUCUU